GAAACGGCUAGGAACGGAAGGAGUACCCCAUGACGGCGGCAUAGAGAGCUUGUGGUCGGUGCAAACAGGCGCGCCCAGUGCGGGAAGGUAGUCCGGGAGCCGGUGCGGUGAAAGGCAGUAGUCGCACCCGUGUGCCGCGUUAAGGCAAGAGCGGCGCGCUUUGGCGCGCAAUUUGAGUGGUACCGCGGAAGUUCAGUUCCGUCUCAUUA
rnacentral:ncRNA from 1 species